UACGGGGGGGGGCAAGCGUUGUUCGGAAUUACUGGGCGUAAAGGGCUCGUAGGCGGCUAAUUAAGUCAGCGGUGAAAUUCCACAGCUCAACUGUGGAACUGCCAUUGAUACUGGUUGGCUUGAGUACAGAUGAGGUAGGCGGAAUUGACAGUGUAGCGGUGAAAUGCUUAGAUAUUGUCAAGAACACCUAUUGCGAAGGCAGCUUACUAAGCUGUAACUGACGCUGAGGCACGAAAGCGUGGGGAUCAAACAGG
rnacentral:rRNA from 1 species